rnacentral:lncRNA from 1 species
ACCCAGAGCCUUUAUAAAUCCACUACUUUUGACCACGAAGCUCUAUAAUCCACUCCUGUUGACCCAGCGCCUAGGGGCCUAUAAAUCCACUACUUUUGACCAGAGCCCUAUGGGACCCUUAAAUCCACUCUUUUUGACCAGAGCCCUAUUAAAUCACUCCUUUUGACCAGAGCCUUAUAAAUCCACUACUUUUGACCAGAGCUCUAUAAAUCCACUCCUGUUGACCAGAGCCCUAUGGGGCCCUAUAAAUCCACUACUUUUGACCGAGCGCCUUGGGACCUCUAAAUCCACUACUUUUGACCAGAGCCCUAUAAAUCCACUACUUUUGACCAGAGCCAUUAAAUCCUCCUUGCCAGAGCCCUAUGGGAGCCUAUAAUCCAACUCCUUUUGACCAUAGCCCCUUUAAACCACCCUUUUGACCAGGAGCCCUAUAAAUCCACUCCUUUUGACCAGAGCCCUAUAAAUCCACUCCUUUUGACCAAGCCUUAAAUCCACUACUUUUGACCAGAGCUCUAUAAAUCCACUUCCUUUGACCAGAGCCCUAUAAUCCACUCCUUUUGACCAGAGCCUAUAAAUCCACUCUUUUGACCAGAGCCCUAUAAAUCCACUCCUUUUGACCCAGAGCCUUAUACAUCCAUACUUUUGACCAGAGCCUAUAAAUCCACUCUUUUUGACCAGAGCCCUAUUGGGAGCCCUAUAAAUCCACUCCUUUUGACCAGAGCCCUAUAAAUCCACUACUUUGACCAGAGCCCUAUAAAUCCACUACUUUUGACCAGAGCCCUAGAGCCUAGAGUCUACGACCUUACAUUGUAACAUGAGCCUAACUACUCUCUUUGACCAGCUAUGGGAGCACCCUAUAAAUCAGCUCCUUUUGACCAGAGCCCUAUAAAUCAACUCCUUUUGACCAGGCCCUACAAAUCAACUCCUUUUGACCAGAGCCCUAUAAAUUCCACUCCUUUUGACCAGAGCCCUAUAAAUCCACUCCUUUUGACCAGAGCCCUAUGGGAGCCCUAUAAAUCAACUCCUAUUGACCAGAGCCCUAGGGGAGCCCAGGUUGUUGGGUCAAUUCUGAACUCAAGAUCAGUUGAUUCAUACAAUUAAUAGAAUGAUCCAACUAAAGGUAUUGGAAAAAUCCACACAU